UGUCUUAAGACACACAUUUAAAGUUUGAACAAUACAGAGAAAAGUAGUUAUGGCCCCUCUGCAAGGAUGACACACAAAUUUGUAAAGCGUUUAAAAUAAAA
rnacentral:snRNA from 1 species